rnacentral:rRNA from 1 species
CGUGGGUAACCUGCCCAUCAGAGGGGGAUAACAUUCGGAAACGGAUGCUAAAACCGCAUAGGUCUUCGAACCGCAUGGUUUGAAGAGGAAAAGAGGCGCAAGCUUCUGCUGAUGGAUGGACCCGCGGUGCAUUAGCUAGUUGGUGAGGUAACGGCUCACCAAGGCCGUGAUGCAUAGCCGACCUGAGAGGGUGAUCGGCCAUAUUGGGACUGAGACACGGCCCAA